rnacentral:rRNA from 1 species
CAGUAGCCACGGUAAAACGUAGGGCGCAAGCGUUAUCCGGAAUUAUUGGGCGUAAAGAGCUCGUAGGCGGUUUGUCGCGUCUGCCGUGAAAGUCCGGGGCUCAACCCCGGAUCUGCGGUGGGUACGGGCAGACUAGAGUGAUGUAGGGGAGACUGGAAUUCCUAGUGUAGCGGUGAAAUGCGCAGAUAUCAGGAGGAACACCGAUGGCGAAGGCAGGUCUCUGGGCAUUAACUGACGCUGAGGAGCGAAAGCAUGGGGAGCGAACAGGAUUAGAUACCCCAGUAGUCCCUGUCUCUUAUAA